rnacentral:rRNA from 1 species
UACGCUAAUGUGCCCCGGACUCUGGGAUAGCUUUCCGAAAGGAAAAGUAAUACCAGAUGAGACCACGAACAGGCAUCUGUUUGUGCUCAAAGGUCCGCCGGUCUGGGAGCAGGCGAUUUUGUAUCAGCUAGUUGGUGAGGUAACGGCUCACCAAGGCGACGACGCAUAGCCGGACUGAGAGGUUGGCCGGCCUCAUUGGGACUGAGACACUGCCCAG